UAUAGUCUUAUUUUGUUGUAAGUCAAAAAAAAAAUAAAAAUAAUAUACACUCCUCGGCUUCUCGAGCAACAAUUAUAUAUGAUCUGAGACAUUCUUUACUUCAUUGCCCUAACCAAAUCAUAAAUCGGAGGAUUUUUAAAUAUUUAUAACGCAGUAAACGAAAAAUUUAAAUAAAUAAAAUUGUCUUGUUGCAUAUAUUCGUUUAAAAUGAAAAUUCUGGAUUUUUUCAUCGUCUUAACUUUUUUGGUCUCUGUAGCUGUCGCUUAUCAAGGGUGCUUAAUGAUAACUUCUAAGUGUAGUCAAGAAAAAGGAGCAGUAAAAUGUUGCCCUGGUAGUACGUGUACUAAGCGGAAUUGGAUCUAUGCAGAGUGUUUUUCAACUAAAAAAUUAGAGGAAGAAAAAAAUAAAAAAUCUUCUAGUUUUUGGGGCUAACCAUCAACAAUCUUUUAUUUUUCUCUCUUUCGGUUGAUAUAAAUUAUUGUUCCAUUGAAACUAAAUUUUUAUAUAUUUUCAUUAUUAUAAUUCAGGCGACCGGCUUUCCGAAUCAAGACAAUCAUUGAAAUUGAUAGUGAA